rnacentral:rRNA from 1 species
UACGGGGGGAGCAAGCGUUGUUCGGAUUUACUGGGCGUAAAGGGCGCGUAGGCGGCGUGACAAGUCACUUGUGAAAUCUCCGGGCUUAACUCGGAACGGUCAAGUGAUACUGUCGUGCUAGAGUGCGGAAGGGGCUACUGGAAUUCUCGGUGUAGCGGUGAAAUGCGUAGAUAUCGAGAGGAACACCUGCGGCGAAGGCGGGUAGCUGGGCCGACACUGACGCUGAGGCGCGAAAGCCAGGGGAGCGAACGGG